rnacentral:rRNA from 1 species
GUACGUAGGGACCAAGCGUUUGUUCGGAUUUACUGGGGCGUAAAGGGCGCGUAGGCGGCAAUUCAAGUCAUCUGUGAAAAUCUCCGGGCUUAACCCGGAACGGUCAGAUGGAUACUGGCUUUGCUAGAGUGCGGAAGGGGCAAUCGGAAUUCUUGGUGUAGCGGUGAAAUGCGUAGAUAUCAAGAGGAACACCUGAGGUGAAGACGGGUUGCUGGGCCGACACUGACGCUGGACAAGCGCGAAAGCCAGGGGAGCAAACGGG